AGGGGCUUAGGAUAGCUCAGACCAGGAGCCUUCAAAGCUCCAAGCGGGGGUGAAAAUCCCUCAGCCCCUG
rnacentral:tRNA from 1 species